CAGUAGCCACGGGAAUACGUAGGGUGCGAGCGUUAAUCGGAAUUACUGGGCGUAAAGCGUGCGCAGGCGGUUCGUUAAGACAGAUGUGAAAUCCCCGGGCUUAACCUGGGAACUGCAUUUGUGACUGGCGAGCUAGAGUAUGGCAGAGGGGGGUAGAAUUCCACGUGUAGCAGUGAAAUGCGUAGAGAUGUGGAGGAAUACCGAUGGCGAAGGCAGCCCCCUGGGCCAAUACUGACGCUCAUGCACGAAAGCGUGGGGAGCAAACAGGAUUAGAUACCCGCGUAGUCCCUGUCUCUUAUAA
rnacentral:rRNA from 1 species